GAAAUGCGAUACUUGGUGUGAAUUGCAGAAUUCCGUAAAUCAUCAAAUCUUUAAACGCACAUUGCGCCCUUCGGUAUUCCGUAGAGCAUGCCUAUUUGAGCGUUAUUAUUACUCUUAAGCUCUACUUAGUGUUAAGCGUCUAUCCCGCCUUAGUAUGCGGAUUCGCCCUAAAGCUAUUAGCAGCGGUCGUGCUAGCUUCUAGCGCAGCACAUUUGCGCUUCCUAAAGCUAUAGUAGAUUAGCAUCUAGUAAGCCCUCUAUAGUUUAACCUUAGAUUAGGUAGAGAUACCCGCUAAACUUAA
rnacentral:misc_RNA from 1 species